rnacentral:rRNA from 1 species
CAACCCAGACCGCCAGCUAAGGUCCCAAAGUCAUGGUUAAGUGGGAAACGAUGUGGGAAGGCCCAGACAGCCAGGAUGUUGGCUUAGAAGCAGCCAUCAUUUAAAGAAAGCGUAAUAGCUCACUGGUCGAGUCGGCCUGCGCGGAAGAUGUAACGGGGCUAAACCAUGCACCGAAGCUGCGGCAGCGAACGUAUCACUUAAAGCGAUUCAGCGGGUUACGAUUGACGGAGCGAAGCGACGUCAAAGCGUAUACAAAGUCGAGUCGGUUUAAGGAUACGUUCGUUGGGUAGGGGAGCGUUCUGUAAGCCUGUGAAGGUGUGUCGUGAGGCAUGCUGGAGGUAUCAGAAGUGCGAAUGCUGACAUAAGUAACGAUAAAGCGGGUGAAAAGCCCGCUCGCCGGAAGACCAAGGGUUCCUGUCCAACGUUAAUCGGGGCAGGGUGAGUCGACCCCUAAGGCGAGGCCGAAAGGCGUAGUCGAUGGGAAACGGGUUAAUAUUCCCGUACUUGGUGUUACUGCGAAGGGGGGACGGAGAAGGCUAUGUUGGCCGGGCGACGGUUGUCCCGGUUUAAGCGUGUAGGUGUGUGUUCCAGGUAAAUCCGGUUCACUUUAACACUGAGGCGUGAUGACGAGGCACUACGGUGCUGAAGCAACAAAUGCCCUGCUUCCAGGAAAAGCCUCUAAGCAUCAGGUAACAUCAAAUCGUACCCCAAACCGACACAGGUGGUCAGGUAGAGAAUACCAAGGCGCUUGAGAGAACUCGGGUGAAGGAACUAGGCAAAAUGGUGCCGUAACUUCGGGAGAAGGCACGCUGACAUGUAGGUGAAGUGAUUUACUCAUGGAGCUGAAGUCAGUCGAAGAUACCAGCUGGCUGCAACUGUUUAUUAAAAACACAGCACUGUGCAAACACGAAAGUGGACGUAUACGGUGUGACGCCUGCCCGGUGCCGGAAGGUUAAUUGAUGGGGUCAGCGCAAGCGAAGCUCCUGAUCGAAGCCCCGGUAAACGGCGGCCGUAACUAUAACGGUCCUAAGGUAGCGAAAUUCCUUGUCGGGUAAGUUCCGACCUGCACGAAUGGCGUAAUGAUGGCCAGGCUGUCUCCACCCGAGACUCAGUGAAAUUGAACUCGCUGUGAAGAUGCAGUGUACCCGCGGCAAGACGGAAAGACCCCGUGAACCUUUACUAUAGCUUGACACUGAACAUUGAGCCUUGAUGUGUAG